GGGUGUGGUUAAGAAACUGGCCGGGUUGGAUCUGUGUUUUUCCUUCACCUGCUGGGAAGGAGACAGAGAGAGUGGGUGGCACCUUGCUUGUUCACCCUCGUAGUGACAACAGCUUUCUGCAGGAGUCUUCCUUUACUUUAAGUCUUUCCAGAAUGGAAUCCUAAAAAAAUGACCCCAGAGUCGUCCUUAUUCUGUCUGCUGUUCCUAGGCCUCUCCCCACCCUGUUGGUCAUGACUUUGGUAAUGGGCAAAGACGCAAGAAUGAUUUCCCAUCUCAUGCCUGAACAGUACAGGGUAAGUCCCGAGAUUCAAAUGAUUUCCAUAGAGAGGGUUGGGAGGCAGGUUGACAACUUGAAACUGUUGUCUUCAUGCUACGAACCAUUUCUCAAAGGUAGGAUCUAGGUCAUGCCAUGCUUGAAGAUGUCUUAGAGAGCAGUCCAAACACACAGGCUGCAUCUGCUCUUCAACGUGAACUGUCUUUAGGUGUCAGCUCAUGGUAUGGCUGUCAGACUUCAACUGCUUAGGGAUGCAAAUUAUUUCUUUUUUUUUUUUUUUCCUUUGAAACUUAUAACAAGCCUUGGGUUGUGGAAAGUCUUAAAUGAUUGCUGCUUUUUCAGGUUCACCAAAGGCGAGUGGGGGACAGGCUUGCUGGGAGGAAAACAGUCACUAGGUAGGGGUCAGUCUGGGGAGUACUCAGGGGAAGAAAGGGGGUUACCCGUGGUUUGGUAGACUAGCAAAGUAAAAAACCAGGCCAUGGAUUAUUUUAAAAAUAAAAAUGUCCCUGUAAAUUUACAAUAAUUUAGUAUAUGGGCUUAUGAAAAUCUCCUCUCCUUACCCAAAGUUUAAAAAAAAACACUCUUUCUUCCUUCCUUCCUUCCUUCCUUCCUUCCUUCCUUCCUUCCUUCCUUCCUUCUUUCCUUCUUUCCUUCCUUCCUUCCUUUUCCCCUUCCUUCUCCCUUCUCUAUCCCUCUCUCUUGUAUUCAACAAAACUAGGUCUUAGUUCCUAUAUAAAGAAAGUUUAAAUCAUCUUUAUUACACCACAGCCUCUGUAUGAUAUUCGAAUCACCGUCCUCUGGCGGUGAAGGAUAGCACAGAUAAUCUGAAGUAUUAGUAUGUUUAAUUGAAAAAAAGAGAAACUACUAUUUAAAACACCCGGAGCCACAGAUUGAGCAGACAGCUACUAAAAUAGCAGAUUAUAUCUUACAGAAGUGCAGACAGACUUGAGCCACUAGUUUAAUAGGAAAGCAUGAAUAUAGUCAAUGGAUUUAUGCAUGAAACUGCUUCAUAGAAUUGGUUUGGCUUAUAUCAGUUCAAACUUCUGGUGGGUGCAGAGUAGCGAUUCUUUACCACAUUGCUUCUAGAUUGUUCUCUAGAUAUAAAGUAAUGUGAGAUCUUAAGAGUAGCUUGGAAACAUCUCUCAUCAUUCAUUCUGUUGGUUCCAAAGAGAAGCUGGAUGUAGAGAUGACUUUUUGUUUGCCUGAUGGUGGUUUGGUAAUUAUGAAAUGUAUUCUUGGGUUUGUAGGCAUCAUUUGCAUUUAAUUUAAAGACAUAUCACUAAAUACUAUAUUUAAAUACCAUGUAUACUCUAUGGAUCCAGAACUGUGUUUCUAACUCAUGAACAUGUCUGUGUCCAUAUAUUAUUUAUAUUAUAUUAUGACUACAGGUUGAAACUUUCACAGAAUUAUAUAUAUAUAUAUAUAUAUACACAUAUAUAUAUAUAUGUGUGUGUGUGUGUAUGUAUAUAUAUAUUAUACACGUAUAUACACAAUCUAUAUGUGCAGAAAGAGACACUUAUUACUGAUCAUUAUAUUCUUUAAUUUUGAAAAUCAAAUGUCCUAAAAUAUUCUUAGCAUUUUUAACCUAGAUUUUGAAUCCCCUGAGUAACUACUUGGUCUAAAUUAGAAACACUCAUGGUCACAUGGGACCAUAGGAAAAGUUUGUGUCCAGAUGUUAAUUUCUCUCUCUCCCUUUCCCUCAUUUCCAGCUCAUCUCACCCAUGGACAUAAACUGUCCACACGGUUGGUUCCUCUGAGGUUCCUCUGAGGUUCCUCUGAGGGUUCCCUUCAGUAGCCGGCCAGACACUCGCAUUAUCAGAGAGAUGAGUCUUCAUUUCCUGUUUCUACUUUUAUUCC
rnacentral:lncRNA from 1 species